rnacentral:rRNA from 1 species
AGCGAACGCUGGCGGCAGGCUUAACACAUGCAAGUCGAGCGGGCCCUUCGGGGUCAGCGGCAGACGGGUGAGUAACACGUGGGAACGUACCCUUUGGUUCGGAAUAACGCUGGGAAACUAGCGCUAAUACCGGAUACGCCCUUUUGGGGAAAGGCUUGCUUCCGAAGGAUCGGCCCGCGUCUGAUUAGCUAGUUGGUGGGGUAAUGGACUACCAAGGCGACGAUCAGUAGCUGGUCUGAGAGGAUGAUCAGCCACACUGGGACUGAGACACGGCCCAGACUCCUACGGGAGGAAGAAGUGGGGAAUAUUGGACAAUGGGCGCAAGCCUGAUCCAGCCAUGCCGCGUGAGUGAUGAAGGACUUAGGGUUGUAAAGCUCUUUUGUCCGGGACGAUAAUGACGGUACCGGAAGAAUAAGCCCCGGCUAACUUCGUG